UAGAGUACUAAAUUGCGUGUGCACUGAAAAAGUUUGCACGUGCUGUUGUUGUGUGUUUUGCGGGUGAUCAACUAAGAAUGCUUGCGCAAUUGAUAACAGGUGCAAACCGCAGUAUUUAAAUGAGGUGUUGCGUGUCUUACGGUUUGCGCCAUGGAGAGUCUGGAUGGAAAGCAGGAUCGCAAGCGCAAAAUGAAAUUUGACGCGGUGGAGUUAGAAAUAUUAGUGGAAGAGGCAAAUAAACACAUUCAUGAACUACAGCAAAGAAAUUUAAACAUUACCAAAAGUGUUGUGCCGUAUUCAGCACCCCUGCCGUGAAAAGCACCCCCUCGUCGACAUAUAUUACCCACACAUCUCUUAUUCACGAGUAAAUGUCAAAAAGGACUAAAUGCUCAUGUUUAAUUUACUACAAAUGACAACGUACACACAAUGACAAAAAUUAUAUUCUCAUUCCGUGUCACGUUCUGUUUAGCGUCCAGUUUUGUGUUAAUGAUUCAUGUUUAAAUGUGCUCAUGGAUUCCACAAUAGUCAUACUUUCCCACAAUCACAGUCACACAUAACAAAAAUCGGGUAAAUGGUUAUUGAUGUCAUUAAUUAAUAGCCUGCUUACUGUGUUGUCUUCCAUAAUAUUUGUAAAUAUAUAUAAUAUAAAUUCCUAAGUAUGUGUUUGUGUGAGUGUGUAUGAGGGGGUGCUUUUCACGGCAGGGGUGCUGAAUACGGCACAACACCACAAUAACAGCAGCCAUCGGUGCGUAAUGCUGGGCAGAUUAGCACCUUCCUUUCGAACGUAUCAAAUACAGAUGCAAUCACAAUCCCCGCAAUUACUUUCGGGCGUGGUAAAUCUCAUUGCGUGUGGUAAAUGAACCUAUUUGCAUUUUCCCCUCCCAGUAUUUAGCGCUUUCUGGCGGGUACGCCCCAUAUUGAUUAUUCAUCAGGGCAAAAGUACUAAAUGAACAGCGUGUGCUAUUUUGCUCAUUUGAGAGACGCAGUCCUCUUUGCACGCUGUUAGUAGAUCAGCUUGCACAUUGGUUUGCGGGUGAUGUAAAGUUUGCACACGUUUUUACGCACGCAAACCUUUAGUAAAUCAGGCCCUUGGUGGCUUUUCUCACAUACGGGCUCCACAUAGGAAAUAAAGUGCUUACAGAUUAUUGUAGGGAUACAAUAUAUAUAUGUAUACAUAUAUGUAGACUUAAAGACAUUAUAUAAUGUCUUUAAGUCUAACCUGAAGGUUGGCUUAGAUCGGGGCUCGGCAACCCGCGGCUCUUUAGCGCCGCCCUAGUGGCUCCUGGAGCUUUUUCAAAAAUGUUGGACCCUUUUUUUCCUUUUUUCUUCUUUUUUUUCUUCUUUUUUUCUUUUUUUCCUUUUUUCCCCUCUUUUUUCUUCUUUUUUUCCUUUUUCUUUUUUCUUUUUUUACUCUUUUUCUUCCUUUUUCAUUUCCUUUUUAAUCUCGACAUUUUUAAUAUUUUCUCGAAAUUUCGACUUUUUUCUCGACAUUUCGACUUUUUUCUCGACAUUUCGACUUAUUUCUCGACAUUUCAACUUUUUCUAGAAAUUGUACUUCAACAUUAAUCUUGAAAUCUCGACUUUUUCUCGAAAUUUCGACUUUUUUCUCGACAUUUCGAUUUUUUUCUCGAAGUGCAUAAUGAAAAAAAAAUCUUCCCCCAGUUCUAACUAAUAUAGAAACAUGCAGCAUGUGUUGCCUUCAUUCUAAGGCUGAUACAAGACUUUUAUACAAGAUUUUUUGCGGCUCCAGACAUAUUUGUUUUUUGUGUUUUUGGUUCAAUACGGCUCUUUCAACAUUUUGGGUUGCUGACCCCUGGCUUAGAUAUUUACUGUUUAAUUUAUAGUAUAGUAUUUUUAGUAUAUUAUACCAGAUAUAGUAUAUAUAGUAUAUAGUAUUUGCAGUACAGUAUUGUGCCCCCUGCUGGUUUGGGAUGAUUAACAAACUUGCUUGGUCAUGUUGGGUUAAAUUACAGGGUGGUUCAUUCACACCCCUCUGUUUUCAGAUAUUUGGUCACAAUACAUAACUGAUUAUCUGAUCUACAUAAAGGAUUUGAUUUUUAGCUUGCUGUAAAGUUAUUUUAAUGAAUUUUAAUGUAAUUUAAGACAUCCAUGCAUGCCUAUUGGUUUAUUGGGAGAUGGUUUUAAGCCAUAUUACAUAAUAUACCUGAUCACAUUCUUAACUGUGUUGAUUUUUAUCAGCAUUGUUAAACACCUAAGAAUGAGUAGUUGUGCUCACUGACGGUAUUAAACACCCCGUAUAAAAGAAGUUAGUCUAGUUUGUAGAGAAUACGCAGCACGAUGUAGAGACCGGAGAUGCAUUUUAAAAUGUGUUGUGCAAAAUUGAGUUCCCAGAGUAAUUUAGAAGCUACAAAGUAUUAACAAAUGGACAAAUGAUUACGGUUUUGUGUGUUUGUUGAAAAUAACACAUUUUACAGAAAGUCCUGCUCAAUGCAAAUGCUUCUGUAGUUGAAUCCUACAUUUUUACGUCAGCUAUCUCACCAUUUCCACCAUGAGAGUUAAUUGUCUGACUGGUUUAAGUAACAAUAAAAAGUCAAAGGAAAAUUUUCUAUAGAGAAUUAUUUUUAUUAUAUUAUUUGAAAGAUUAAUUUUAUACUGUAUGCUACCAAUUCUUUUGUUUGUUUACAAGAUUUGUACAUGAACACAUGUGUGGGUUUCCCAACCAAUCAGUGUAAAUGUUUUUAAAGAUCUGUUUUUUUGCCCUGAAAUGACAAAUGACUGACAUUCACAGCGGUGUGGGUUGUGGGUUUAUUGCAUCUGAUUAUCCACAGGUUGAAUUCUUUAAAAUUUGACGGUUAUGUAGAAUAUCCGAUAAGAAGAGGACAUGUACUUAGAAACUGCUGAACAAUUUUCAAAAAACUCUUAAUGUUGAAGUUUUUUAGAUAGAGUUUUCCAAAAUUGUAGUGUAGGUGAUACCUUUUAGUGUUUCAUUUAAAAAAAGAAAGAACUGUGAACGUUUCUGCCAGAUAACCUUAAGAGAUUGGUGUUUUUCAAACUUUAUGGCUGAUAUUGAUUAAUAUGUGGAUAAUAAAGAAAAACUUGGUUUAA